rnacentral:rRNA from 1 species
CUCUCGGCAACGGAUAUCUCGGCUCUCGCAUCGAUGAAGAACGUAGCGAAAUGCGAUACUUGGUGUGAAUUGCAGAAUCCCGUGAACCAUCGAGUCUUUGAACGCAAGUUGCGCCCGAAGCCGUCAGGCCGAGGGCACGCCUGCCUGGGUGUCACGCAUCGUC